UGGAAUGCUGGAGGGUAAAUCUCUGCUUUCCUGGAAGCUGCUCAAGCUUUAUCAGAAGCGGCUGUGACAAUACGCCAGCUGAUGGGCCAACCUAUAAGCACCGAUCAGAGAACAAAACAGCCUUCCUGGAAGAGGCAAUCAGCAGGAGCCGGACCCUUCCUGGAAGACCACUGCGGGUGGCUCCUCGCGGGGCACAUUUCAAGCCCGCUAAUAUUUUUCCACCGACUCCAGCUGACAGCGUUGACAUUGGCUCAGAAACCUUUAUUAAGCCGUGUGAUUUGCCGUCAAUCACAGCGCUGCUGGAUGUGCUUUGUGGGGGCAAACGGCCUCCUUUGUGUGGACGUUCUGAAGCCUGGAAUUUGGAGAACCCUCCCCACCCCCUCCCCCCACGGCGGGGCCUCGGUCGUGUUCGUAGCCGCUGUUGUGUUUGGCCCGGGCCUCUGUUGACAACCGCCGAGCCGGACGCGGAAAGUCACUGCCCCAAAAAAGUGAAUCAUGGUGGAAAGACUUUGAAUGAGUGUGAGAUUCACGAGAGGAGAGAAGGACACCAGCGAAAUAUUCCAGAGCAGCGACGGGGAACAGAACGUGUUACAAGCUUGUGUUCCUGCCAGACUAGUGGCCAGAGCGAGGGGGGGGGCAGUCUUUAUAAAAGACAUAUUCACAUUACAGGUGAGGUCCACCGCUGUAACACACCUAAGAACUGGGAGAAGACGAAGACCGACGGUUGUUUGGCCUCCGGGGAUCAUGGGAACGGACGAGCCCUCGUCAAACACACACACAAAAAAAGCAUUUCCGAUCAAAUCCGCCUCUUCCGCAGCCUUUUCUCUCUUUUGUUUGAGGAUCUUUGGAGCUAAUCGGGGUUUCGGAUGAAAGGAGGAAGGUCAGAGCGGCGCCAGACCUCUUUAGCGUUACGGCCGUGUCCGCCCCCGGGUCCCCGUGACCGAGGGACACACACAUGGGGACAGAAGGACACGUUUGCCAGGACGCUGCGCAGGACAGCGAGGACGCUCAGGUGUAAAGGCAGCGGAGGAGCUCCUCCUCCGACGGCCCGGGUCUGUAUUCACAGGCGCCGUCUGGUGGGACCGUUUCCCUGAAGUUUAUCACCAGGAUCACACGCUGCUGUAUAACAGUAUGUCUCCUCCCCCAGGCCGGCCCCCACUUCCCUUUUCCUAAUCCCAUUUCCCUCAUUUCUCUCCUGGUUGGAUCCUUCCCGCUCCUCCACAGAUUCACGCUUCUGCUGACAGUUCUGGAGUCGGUCUGGAUUUAAACUACAGAUCUGCUGCUCUUGGUCCCCUGACAACGCGUUAGUCUCAGAGGAGGAGGAGGAGGAGGAGGAGGAGGGGGAGGGGGAGGAGAUGCUCCCUAAAGGAGGAGGAGGAGGAGAUGCUCCCUAGAGGAGGAGGAGGAGGUGGAGAUGCUCCCUAAAGGAGGAGGAGAUGCUCCCUAGAGGAGGAGGAGAGGGGAGGAGAUGCUCCCUAAAGGAGGAGGAGGGGGGGGGGGGGGAGAUGCUCCCUAAAGGAGGAGGAGGAGGAGGUGGAGAUGCUCCCUAAAGGAGGAGGAGGAGGUGGAGAUGCUCCCUAAAGGAGGAGGAGGAGGGGGAGGAGAUGCUCCCUAAAGGAGGAGGAGGAGGAGGUGGAGAUGCUCCCUAGAGGAGGAGGAGGAGGAGGAGGUGGAGAUGCUCCCUAGAGGAGGAGGAGGAGGAGGAGGUGGAGAUGCUCCCUAGAGGAGGAGGAGGAGGAGGAGGAGGUGGAGAUGCUCCCUAAAGGAGGAGGAGAUGCUCCCUAGAGGA
rnacentral:lncRNA from 1 species